CAUUCACGGAGAGUUUGAUCCUGGCUCAGGACGAACGCUGGCGGCGUGCUUAACACAUGCAAGUCGAACGAUGAAGCCCUUCGGGGUGGAUUAGUGGCGAACGGGUGAG
rnacentral:rRNA from 1 species